UGAAUGCAGAACAACGAGCCCUCAUUCCCGGCUGGAUCCAGAGAAACACGCAUGGCAUUCUUUUCCAGCAAGGCGGGGAGACGUUUGUUCACAGUCAAGUACUUGUUACUCUUGAUGUGCAGGAGCUGGGAGGCAAGAAUCAGGAGCCAAUAAUAGUUUGCCAAACUGCUUCUGGGCAGAGUACCUAUUCAUGGGACACACCUUGAAGAGGCAAUCUGCAGGAAACACAGGGCAGUCAGGCUUCAACUACAGAGAAGGCGACUGAAGUGGGUACAUUGGACAUGGCAACAUCAGAGGAAAUCAUGUGCUUUCUGCGCAGGGCUGAUUAACAAUGGUUAUUUCUUUAGUUAAUAACAUUGUAAGCACUAGUUUCCACAUUACUGACUAUACCAGGAAUACAAAGCAAAACAAUGAUAGUACAACUGCACUAUUAAUACAGUUGAAUAGCUGAAUCAAAAUCAUAACAAUGCCCUUGCAAUGGUGAAGAACUGCACUCUCAUGAACUUACAUGAAUAGAUAGAAAUAAUAAUAAUGAACAAUCCAGUCAUGUAUUUUCUACCGGUUACGGUUUAGGGUCACACGUGUCCUUUUUUCCAGUUGAUUUUUGCCACUAAACCAGCGGCCUCAUGUAUUAAUCUUGCUUACGCACAAAAACCUGGCGUACGCAAUGUUGAGAUGUAAUAAGAAGACUGACAUACACACAUUUCUACAUAUUUCUACAUGCCGUGUGAAUACAUUAGCGACACACAGAGGGGGCCUUUCAGGCUUUGCCAACAUUUGAUUUCAAUAAUGUUAAAAAGAUUGAAGCAAAGACACAAAAUGUAUUUAUUACUUCAUAUUGAUAUUUGUUAGGGCGAUCAUUUUACCAACUAUUGCUGUCACAAUGUGUUCCUGUGACUCCUUGGCCAUGUCAGCCGGGCAGCAGCCACCAGUGGCACCGAAGACUGGGGAGAAAUGUCCUGACUUUGUGUCACGUACGACUGCUACCGCAAAAAG